GUAAUUAGCAACCCCGCAGGCUAGCUUGUGUGUGUGUGUGUGUGUGUGUGUGUGUGUGUGUGUGUGUGUGUGUGUGUGUGUGUGUGUGUGUGUGUGUGUGUGUGUGUGUGUGUGUCACUGUAAAGCUCUCCACCACAGCAGCCAGUGAGAAGGGACAGGGGAAGUAAGCUGACACCCCAGCUGGUGUAGCAAUGCCUGCUAGGAGGCAGACUGUAUAUUUUUCUCGGUAUCUGAAAUAACCAGCUUAGCGAGAGACGUUCGGAAAACAUGAUACGGCGUGUGGAAAAAAACGGGAUAGAAAGAGCGGCAAAUGUGGCAUCUGCUAUUUAUCAAGUUAAAAAAACGUGUUUCAAAGCUUCAAGCAGAGCAGGCGCUGGUGCUUGGAAGCAUGUUCAAUGUAAAUGCAGGCAGAGCUGGGAAAUCUGUAGCUCUGGGCUGAGCUGAACACCAAAAGGCUGCAUCUGUGCGUGUAGCUGGAAGGAGUGUAGACGUGUGAACACUAGAGGGGGAGCUUAGCCAUGGCACAGGAGCCCCUGCACUGGAUUGAAAUGGAGCUCGGCAUCCUGGAUCUCCACCAAAUCCAAGCACCAAGCUGGCGAGAGGGCAAAGAGGUUCAGACAACAGCGCAGUGUCAAAGCAAAGGGAACUACAGAGGGGGAUGAAAUUCUUUGCUGCACUGAUUUCUCGCUCUGACCUCAGCGUUCCCACAUCUAAGUGUUUCCCCUGACCACUUCCCUUCAUGUCUCCCAUACACUGGCCAAGAAAAGAUAUACAAUUAUACUUUGGUUACACUGUACGGUGCUUCCCAUGAGGUAUAGACAUAUGCUUCUUUGUGUACAAAUCUUUAGGUCGGCGCCAAAGGCGUAAAGCUUUUCGGCUUUGAAUUUAGCUUGCCAUAAAAUCAUCAAAUAUUUAAACAUUGCUUAAAGCAGAACACCACAUCUGGAGGACAAAAAAAUAAAAUCGACCCGUGCCACCAAGACAAAAGUACUUUCUAUAACCGAGUUUCAGUCGCUUCGAACAUGUGAAUGGGAUCGGUUAUUCUUGCACCAUUUACACACUCGCUGACACACACACACACACACACACACACACACACACACACACACACACACACACACACACACACACACACACACACACACACACACACAUUAGAUCCAGUCCUAUUUGUCGAAUCACUAGUGUUUGAAUUGCCAGUCCCAGCUGCUGGUACAGAGUCUUUGAUCAUGGUGACCAAACUUAAGUCCACAGAGUGGUUGGGGGUCACAUGUGAGCUCCAGCUGCCUCCAGAAUCUCACCCAGACGCUAUAAUGAUGCUUGUUAUAGUCACUUGGCCCUCUUGGAAGAAUAUUGUUAGAUGCAGACCCAAUGAGAGGUAAUUAUGGAUUAAGAUGUUGUCUUAACCAAUGGCUAUAUGAAACACUGAGCAGGAUACAGUUUGCAGGGAAAAACUAUGACUGGAAAUGCUGUAGUAGGAAAAUAAUCAAAAUCAAGUGGCGUCAACCAGCAUUUGCUUUUUAUUUGAAACUCUCUUAUGAAAUGCAUGUAGUUUUUAUAUUAUUAUUUAGUUAUUUGUUUGUUUGUUUGUUUUUCAAGCAUUUAAUUUUUGUAUUGGUACAUAAUUUUGCUUCUAGAGGUUAAUGCUUAAAAUGAACAAAUUAUCUGCUUAUAGAACACAAAAUGUGCAGAUUAACAAUAAUCAAAUAUGCAUAAAAAUAAAAAACUCUUUGGCUUAAUAAUAUCAUAAAGGGUUUUUUAUUUAUAUAAGAAACAGUGGAUCCUUUUGACUCAAGGUUCAAAAGAUUUUAACUUGCUAGGAUUAUUUAUUUAUUUGUUUGUUUGUUUGUUUGUUUGUUUGUUUAUUGCAGUGUAGUAACUACUAUUAGGGCCACUGUUAUAGAAAAUAAUCCUUCUGACCAAUCAGAGUCCAGAAUCCUUGUUGAUCUUUUAACACUUUCCAGCAGUACUCUGGUAUUUCAUUCGUCUGCAAAUCAACUUUUGCUGUCAGUAUAAACAAAUGAAUUUUUUUUAUCACCACGAGUUCGUUAUAAGAUUUUAGCCAGGACACUGUUGGGUUUCUGUGUGUAGAGUAUCUUUAUCUGCUGGUGACCGAUACAAUCAGAAACGGAACGUAUGUGAGCCCCCUGCUGGGCAAAUAAGUCACACGUCUCCACAAUAACACUUAUAUAGAGAUAAAACAAACAGCACAAUUGCAUUUUUUGACAAUAAAUUUAUUUUAUUUAUUUUUUUUAUUUAUAAAGAUUUAACCUUAGUUAAAUAACAAUAAAUAAAUAAUUCAAUAGAUAAAAUGAAAAACUGCAGUGUUUAUUUUGAUAUGAGCCUUUAACCAGAUGACAAAUACAUUUAGAAACUAAUAAUCUGGACUGUGGUCAAUAAACAAACAAAUAAAUAAACAAAUAAAUAAAACAGAAAACAGCUAACAUAUAAAGCAUUUGUGUAAUUUGUUGUAAUUUUUAGUCCUUAAUGAACCCAUUUUAGCAAUUUAAUACAAAAUUUCUAAAAUACAGUGUAUAUGAUGAUUCAUGUGAUUUAUUCUUGUUUAUCUCCCAACUUUACCCGAUUAAAUGUUGUGGAUAUCCCAAAGUGAUGCUGUAGGUUACUGAAUGUAAAAUAUUCUGUACACUUAUAUUCAUGUUGUAUCUAACUGCAUUUUUUCUCUUAUACGACUCCCUUUUCCAGUAAACUACCAUUAAGUUUAACUUCUUUAACUCGCACCGUGUAUUAAAGGCUUUAA